rnacentral:lncRNA from 1 species
UGUAGACUGUCUAACUAAAUGUACCGGGCUCAGUUUGGUUUGUACGAGGGCUGUAAUACCGAUUUAAACAUGAUUUAUUAUUGUCCGAUAUAAAAUGUGCUGGUUGGCUAGGUGUGUAUCUACUGAGACCGUUGGUCCGAUACUGUCCAAGCUGUCACAGAGAGGGGAACCAUGGAAACAGGUUCUGGGUGCUGUUUAUCUCAGAAUACCCAGGAGUCAGAUGUUGAGCGCUUGACUUUCCUCCCGUUGCUCCCCACCUGAUCAAUCCACUCGUUACCAAAGCCUACAAGUUAUUUCCAGAGAACCUGAUGUAUAUUAUAACUCAGUAUGAACCCUAAUAAAGCUUUAUACCUGAUGGAUGAUGAUGAUGAUGAUGGAUCUCUGGCAUUGAGGUGAAUCUGUUGCUCCGAUCUGAUAAAAGACUCAUUAUAAAAGAGACUGAGUGUUUUUAAAAACCGCACCAGCAUGCUUCAGGACGUUCUAGAGCCAGACUUCAGGAAGUUCUAGAAUCAGGCUUCAGGAAGUUCUAGAACAAGGUUUGAGGAUGUUGUAGAACCAGGCUUCAGGACGUUCUAGAACCAGGUUUGAGGAUGUUGUAGAACCAGGCUUCAGGAUGAUCUAGAACUAGGCUUAAGGAAGUUCUAGAACCAGGCUUCAGGACGUUAUAGAACCAGGUUUGAGGAUGUUGUAGAACCAGGCUUCAGGAUGAUCUAGAACCAGGCUAAAGGAUGUUCUAGAACCAGGCUUGAGGAUGUUGUAGAACCAGGCUUCAGGAUGUUGUAGAACCAGGCUUCAGGACGUUGUAGAACCAGGCUUCAGGAACGUUGUAGAACCGGGCUUCAGGACGUUGUAGAACCAGGCUUUAGGACGUUCUAGAACCAGGCUUCAGGAAGUUCUACAACCAGGCUUCAGGACGUUAUAGAACCAGGCUUCAGGAUGUUCUAGAACCAGGCUAAAGGAUGUUCUAGAACCAGGCUUGAGGAUGUUGUAGAACCAGGCUUCAGGAUGUUCUAGAACCAGGCUUCAGGAUGUUGUAGAACCAGGCUUCAGGACGUUCUAGAACCAGGCUUCAGGAUGUUCUAGAACCAGGCUUCAGGAAGUUCUAGAACCAGGCUUCAGGAAGUUCUAGAACCAGGCUUCAGGACGUUCUAGAACCAGGCUUCAGGACGUUUAAGCUGUGAUGGAACCUGACCUUCAAUCUAUCAGAAACCUUGUCGUUUUAACUCUUGAGAGACUGGAGGAAGAGGAGGAGGAGGAGGAAGAGGAGGAAGAGAAGGGUGUGUUUUCUAGCUGUCAAUAGACAAGCUAACUGUCUGCAAUAAUUUCCCUCUGAUGCUCCCAGAACUGAGAGAGAGGGUUUCCAAGGCUGGUAUACAACUGUACUUUUGACAUUGUUUUUUAAUUGCUGAUUAUUAUAAUGAUCAAACAUUAUCCUGAAGGAUGUUCCCCCU